ensembl:lncRNA
GUGUUUUUGAUAGAUGCCUGGAUAAAGUCUGCACAUAAGAACUCUGCAUGGCGCAUCAUUUGUGGAAUGUUCUAUGGAUGUGUUGUGCUGUUCUCUUUCAUUUUGAGUAGAGGUUUUAUCAGGAUGCAUGUGAAGUGGGUCUGGUUAUAUUUUCUGUCUCUGGCACAAUUCUUCCUACUGAUUUCCUUAUUUGGACUUCCCAGUCCAGCUUUUCUAGCUGCGCCAAUGGUUCAGGCAAUACUGCUUAUGUGUAUGCGAACUAGCUUCUGGAAAUUAGUGAUAACAUUAUAUAGCAUCCUAGUGGUCUAUGUUCAUGUAUGCAUAUUUGGAAGAGAGAAAGAAUACUUGCAGUGGACCUUUAUGGUUGUAUUUCUUGAAGUUCUGAGGAUUAUGGUGGCCUUUGAAGACCGAGAUUAUGUUAUUGAGGCAGAACAUUCAGAAGCACAGAGACAACAACAACAGACCGAGAUGAGCCAGCAAGGAUCAAAUGCAUGUAAUUACUGACUGCUGACAAUAUGAUUCACUUUAUUUCUAAAUUUCUUGAUUUACCCAAUAUGUAUUAAAAAACCCUCUUAACUCUGUUAAAGCAAUAGAAUAUAAAUACAAUUCUAUAGUAGAACAUAGAAAAGAAAUCUACUAAAAUUAACAUACAAAUAUAGUGUUCAGUGGUAACAAUUGUUUAAUGUAUUAGAGCAACUAUUUGGUUUGUUUGUUUUUGUGUGUGUGUGUGUGUGUGUGUGUGUGUGUGUGUUAGUGGUUUGUUUGUUUUUGUGUGUGUGUGUGUGUGUGUGUGUGUGUGUGUGUUAGUGUCUCUCUGUCAUAAAAUCAUGUUCAUGUUUGGAGCAGUUGGUCUUGUUUUGUUGAACUCUGGUACACUGACAGCAGAACUGAUCCUGAAAGCACGUGAGUGAUUGUAAUAUUUUUAAGUCAUAGAGAGUUAUCUAAUCUAACACACUGUAAUACACUGUGUCUUUAGGAAAUAUACACAACAAAUUACAGUGCAAUUACUAAACAUUGCUUGACCUUUUCGUUUUCCAAUGCCUUAAUUUUGUUUCUGUUUUCAUAUGUAGUAUUUUAAUUGUAAUUCUUAGGAAAUGGUGAGCAUGUCGUGAAGGAUCUGAGAGUCGUAGUAUUUCUCUCUGAAUGUGUUUUUGUCUUAUAUUGGAUGAUUUUACAAAUAUGUGCUUUCUGUAAGUAUCUUCUAAUAUAUUUUUAAAAUAGACUCAGUUGAUUAAAUUGUGUGUGUGUGUGUGUGUGUGUGUGGGUGUGUGUGUGUGUGUGUGUGUGUGUGUGUGUGUGUGAGUGUCUCUCUGUCAUAAAAUCAUGUUCAUGUUUGGAGCAGUUGGUCUUGUUUUGUUGAACUCUGGUACACUGACAGCAGAACUGAUCCUGAAAGCACGUGAGUGAUUGUAAUAUUUUUAAGUCAUAGAGAGUUAUCUAAUCUAACACACUGUAAUACACCGUGUCUUUAGGAAAUAUACACAACAAAUUACAGUGCAAUUACUAAACAUUGCUUGACCUUUUCGUUUUCCAAUGCCUUAAUUUUGUUUCUGUUUUCAUAUGUAGUAGUUUAAUUGUAAUUCUUAGGAAAUGGUGAGCAUGUCGUGAAGGAUCUGAGAGUCGUAGUAUUUCUCUCUGAAUGUGUUUUUGUCUUAUAUUGGAUGAUUUUACAAAUAUGUGCUUUCUGUAAGUAUCUUCUAAUAUAUUUUUAAAAUAGACUCAGUUGAUUAAAUUAAUCUGAUUGUCAAAUGUAUGACUCAAUGAAUAUUAACAUAAUAAAUAAUGAGCCAGACUGAUGUAUUUUGGUGAAAUCUGUGUUCGGUUUAUUAAAAAGUUAUAUGGCUCAGUAAAAAACAGCCAAAAAAAUCCAUCCAAACAGGUACUUAAAGAGCUAAAGACGAACCAACAAUAUUUAUAGUACACAAUGCCAAGUUUAAAGUGUAAAUUAGUGUAUACAGUGUGCUACAGAUAUCACUUUACGCUCAUGCUUUUAACUCUCGGCAAAGGUGUUUCACAAUAACUUUAAGCAGGGUUACCACCACAUUUUUCUGUCUUUAAAAUUGAUAUAUUAAAUGCAUUAUGUUAACUAAAAAAAUAUUUAAUUAGUCACAAAAAAUUGUAUUCAAAUGACCGCCC